CGCCAUGAUGCUCCCACUCCAGACAGACGCAGGUUAAGAUCCUCUCUGAAACAGUCUGGAUCAGUGGUGAAGCUGCUCCCCCAAAGACACGGGUUACUAAACAAAAAUGUCAGUGCCGAGCAUAGAUCAUUACCCUAUAAGCUGCUACUGGUGAGGGAGGCCCCCAAAUGACGCAAGCUAUUGCCAUUGCUCUUGGUUGCCCGCCAGAAUCCGAUGGGAAGACCAUAUUGCUGAAUUGCUGAAGACACCCACGCUUUGUUUGCAGGACACAGAGAAAUGAACCUUGCAUUGACUGGGCCACUCUCUCCCCACUAGCUGGCUUUCACGGUGAUGGAACAGGCUACGUAGGCUGCUGGCGGAGAAAAGAUAGCAGCAGUCUUACCCAGCACUGGAUCCUGCAUGCUGCAAUAUCAACCUUCCAGAUAAGGCACGCCCACUGGUGCAAUAGUGACCUUAUUUUUAUAGGAGUGUGGUGGUUUGAUUAAGAAACAUCCUGUACAGGCUUGGCAUCUGAAUACUUGGCCCCCGGUUGUGUUGUGCAGUUGGGAGGUUUCGGAGGUAUGGCCCUGCUGGGGGAAGUAUGUCAAUAGGGGCAGACUUGGUGAGUUUAUAACUUCAGCCCACUUCCAGCUCCGCCUUCCACCUCCACCGCUCAGCUUCCUGCUUAGGCUGCCACGUCUGCCUGCUGCCACCCCCCCCCCCCCCGUGAUGGACUCUUAUGCCUCUGGAACUGGAACCCCAAAUAACUCUUCUAUACGUUGCUUGGUCCUGUGUUCUAAGAUAGCAAAGAACAGUAACUUAGACGGGGAUAACCAAAGACCUUCUAAAUGGAUUGGAGGCCUGCUGCGCAAGACGGAUUUCAUGCCUGGUCCCAUCCGUGAGCCUGAUGAAAAGCAUGUCUGGGGAGGUCAUCUGCCCUAGAAGUGAACCUACGUGUCUUCUAAAUGAUCAUGUUGUCAAACUGCCUUCUAAAUAUUUACGUUUAUACUCACAGACCUGUGCAGCUCUCAACCUUGGCCGGAGAAGCUUCCUUUUGCAGUAGUGGUCAGUGAAGAGAGUCAAGACUGGUCAAAGAGUUGAGAAUAAGUGACUCUGGGUGGCCAGCCACUGAGAGGACCUUGGCAUCAACCUCCCGCAUCCAAGGCUUAGGGGACACUGAGGAAGGGGAAACAGAAGGGUUGCGAGCGCUGAAGGAUGAGGAGGAGAACUGGGAAGUGACGACAUGCACAAGACCCACGUGAGAUCAAGCCAGUCGAAACUCCAGCAUGAGGAGACUGCUGAGACCACAACCCAAUUGGAAGCAUAAUUGGCAGUUGAUGGAUGAGGGAGGGAAAGUUACUCUCCUAUGGGAAUGCGGUCACUGAAACAUAAAACAAAAUUAAAAACUCUACGUGGAGAGGUGAGCUGGCUCAGUGAUUGAAGUCACCCUUGGCCUCUGUAGGGCCUCAUGAAGCGUGGGGCCACUGCUCUGCUCUGCUAAUGGUAAUUCAAGGGCUUCUAGCCCCUUACUCGAGAUGACUUCCUUAUACUAAGACCCAGGGAGUCCAUAAGUUCUGCUCACUGAUGCCACUGGUUGUGGUUGUGGUCUCAACAUGUAAGUACUCAGCAACCAGUGCCAUGUCUGCCUGCUGCCAUGCUCCCCACCAGGAUGGUCACGCACUCGUCCUCUGAAACUAUCUGCCAAUACGACCUACACUUGCAUCCUGGAGGAGGAGCCCAGGUGAUCACUGGGCACUAGGACAUGCCCCUGGGCAUGACUUCCUCCUGAACAGCGUGCAAGUGAGGAAAUCACCAUUGUGCCCAGCAAGACGCUUUAUGAGAUGGCAAGGUUGUACUAUGUAUCUAAUGGAACAGAUUGAGAUAGACCAGGUGAGGACUGUCACUAGUCCUGAUGAACUAGAGGAGGAGGACAGUUAUGCUCCUGGUGCCUUCCACGUCCCACCUCCUCUAGAGAGGUAACAAGUGGCUCCAUGAAUCGAGGACCUGAUGUCAGUUGAGAGAAAGGAGGAGCAGAAGCAGAAGCCCUGGUUUCCAGAAGGAACUUUAGAUGAACAAGCAUGAACAGGAUCCGAAAGGAUAUUCAAGAGGCAGCUGUAACAGGGGAAUGAUGGCUGUUUAAUUUCUAUCACCUGGGCAUUGAUUCAAAUUGUUAUAAGACCCUUAAGGAGAAGAGUAAUCAUGAGGAAAGAUGGCUAAUUCUUUGAAUGCAUAUACACUGGAUGAUCAAACCUUAAAACUGGUAAAAGAAGCAAAGAAGGAGGUUUUCCCUAUGCAGGCAAAAAUCAAAGGUAAUAAUGGUGAGACCCAUGCUAGUGAUGACUCUGUAAGCUCCCUUACUGGAGCCUCCUUUAAGUAUGUAUCCUCUAUUGCCUGAAAAUGACCUUGAAGCAUGGGAUGAGGAAUUUGAUAAUCAAUCUAAUACUGAAUUCCAUCCGCUUUUGAUGAGGACUUAGGAGAGCCUGUGGGAACGCUAACCUUACAACCUAGGCAAGUUAGAGCAUGACAGGGAAAUGAAAUUUGUUUCAGCAAAGCCUCCCUGGCCUCAUGAGGUACAACUGGGAUUUCCAGUGCAAUUUCAGCAAAAUUGAAAUGUUUCUAUGCACUAGCCUUAAAACUCUAGAAGGAAAGACGAUAUUAGUCCUUGUAUAUUAUCUUGAAAGGAAAGAACUACAGCUAUUUGAAUUCAGACUAAAAGAAGCAUUUGUGUAUCGAGUGUCUCCUUCGCUGCCUUUAAACCUUCUUAUUUUCCCCACUAAAUUGUCUCCCACAGGUAUUAUAGUACAAGAGAAUAAACCUUUAGAAUGAUCUAGUUACACUGUAAGGGCCACAAUAUACUAAGACUUACCUUACUCUUCUUGCUCAAUUAGUAGUAAAUCAGGGGUUUGAUCCUUCUUGUGUUAUAUUAUCCUUAGUAAUAGAUUUUUAAGAGCAUCACAGAACUCCAUGGACUUUCAAAUUUCAUUUGCAAAUGACUAUGAAGGGUACAAAAUUAUUAUCCAGCUGGCAAACUAUGGGAUUUCCUCUUACUAUAUUUGUGAACACAAAUCGUCUGACCUUCCCCCAUUCCACAGGCUGAUACUUAUUUUAUCUAUUGCUCAUCUAAUAGUAUAGGAAGGAUUCAAGGUCCAGAUAUUCGUCAAUCUAUUAAUACUUCUUGUUCUUUAGUCCAAUAGGUGGAAUGGUUGUUUGGUUCAUCUAUUACGGUUCAUUCAUGAACCCUUAAAUAUUAUUUCAGGUUCUGCUUAUGUUGUAAAACUAUUUCCAGAAAUAGAAAUAUACUCAGACUUGUGCACACCCUAACCUUCCUGGUUUUACUGCAGGAGAAAAUAAACAAGCUGAUGCAUUAACCUGCCCCAUUUUUACUUUUCCAGAAGAAAAUCGGGGAGAAGUAUGUGUCUGUCAUUGCAGACGGAUCCUACUGAAAUAAUAUGGAUCCCUCUUUGAUUCUUCUGGGCCCAGGCCAUCAGGGACAAUAGUAGAUGGUGAAGAAACAAUGGAAGUCCCCAGAAAGAGAACAAACCACCAUCUAAAGGACAAAAGGAGAUAUCAAUCAUAUCAUCAGAAGUCAAGUUGCAUACCUGGGGCCAAGUUAAGGCACUGUGCAUCAAGGGAGAAGUUAAUUAACUCUGUGUUUAUGAAUGGACCUUGAGACCACAAUAGACCACAAGGGACUGCAUUCAAUUUUUCUUGGGAUUUAAAUAACUUUUCAUUUGCAUAGAACAUCAUAACAUAUGUGUUACUAUUAAAGGCAAGGGUAGGCGUAUGUUCUACAAGAUACUAGAACUACUAAUCAUAGGGGUCUCAUUUUCUAGUCAUUCUCUAGAUUUUUCUGAUCAAUAUAAUAAUAGUAAUUAAUAGUACUGGACAAAGUUUGUAUCUCAGUUCUUGGUGGCAGAGUAUUACACACAAUGCUUUCACUGUUCUAAUAUUAUAAUUUGCUUGCUUACAGGAACUCAUGCAUCAAGUGAUAAAUAGAUUGAUCUACAUCUCAAAUCAAAACCACUCUCAAGAUGCUACUAAAAAAUAAAAAAAGGUGGAGAUGUUGGAACACAGUUCAAGAAUUGAGUUGUGCCAUCUUGAAUUUUGCAGGCAAAUGGAUGGAGCUAGAAAACAUCAUUUUGAGGGAGGUAACCCAGACCCAGAAAGACAAUGAUCACAUAUACUCACUUAUAAGUGGUUUUAAAACAUAAAGCAAAGAAAACCAGCCUACAAAUCACAAUCCCAGAGAACCUAGACAACAAUGAGGACCCUAAGAGAGACAUACAUAGAUCUAAUCUACAUGGGAAGUAGAAAAAGACAAGAUCUCCUGAGUAAAUUGGGAGCAUGGGGACCUUGGAGGAGGGCUGAAGGGGAGGGGAGAGGCAGGGAGGGCAGCAGA